rnacentral:misc_RNA from 1 species
CUUCUUCUUGAGCGUGUCAACGCGGUUCUUGCACUGGAUGUCGGUGCGCGGCAGGCAGCGGCGCGCGGAGGCCCCGGGGCGAGAGUUGACGGCGUCGGCGACCUCCCGCCACUGCGGCUGGCGGAGGCUCCCACGGUUGAGGUCGAGGUAGCGCGAGCCCCAGGCGUCGACAAGCGCGACCUUCUCGCCCUCGCUCCAACAGUCCUCCCAGUACGCCAGGUUCGGGUUCGGCGGCGGCAACUUCCCGUCCAUCGCUCCUCCUCCCAGAUCUCUCCGCGUCACGACGACAAUGACAACGACGACGACCUAGCCUUCUCUCAUUU